CUUCACCCACUAAACCACCAAGCACAGCCCAGCAGGCCACUGUCCUCAUUAAUCAGCACUACCUGUGCAUCCAGGGCUGGUUGUUGAAGACCAAGCUAAUUUGUUAGAGACGUGCCAUGUGGGCAACUGGCUUGGAGAGACCAGGGCUCUGAGCCACGUGGAGACAAGCCGACCACUGGUCAGACCACCAGGAGGCUCACCCAGUGUGUGAAGACGCUGAGGGAGGAGGGACGUAGAUGGGACCCUCUGAUCCUUCAAGGGACCUUCUUUCAGGGAUAUUUAAGAGCUGUGGGGUCAGGGAUCAACAUGUAAGGGGGGCAGCAGGUCAGGCAUGGGCCCUCCUGUUGGCUCAGACCCCUCCUGUCCUUGGAGCAACCAUGGGGCAGGCAGGAGGAUUGGGGGGAUGGAGGGAGGGGAGCCCUGGGCUCAGGGGUCUAGAGCACCAUCUAGAGGAUUCAGGGGUUCAGGGAUUUCUGUCCCAGGGAACCAACUACAUUCCUGUCCCACAUCCAUCUGUCAUCAGCUUUGCGAUUCCGGGAAAGUCACUUACAAUCUCAACAUUUUCGUGCCAUGUACCAUAAAAUACGGUUCACAGCACCUGCCAUGAGUUCCCCACGGGGCUGAUGUGGGGAUCACAGGAGAUGAUGACAGAUAUUCUUCACAAGCUCUAAAGCAUCACACCCAUAACCUUCCCCACUCCCCUGCCCUGUGGCAUCCAGGUCCCCUCUCUGGAGGCAGCACUACCACAUUUCUUGCUUAUUCUUCCAGACAUUUAAUAUUUGCACACUUAGGUAGCACUUAUGAAGUAACCAUCAUUUUUCAUCAGGGUCUACCUGAUUUGCUGUAUUAAGCUUCAUCAUGUAAUACUAAUAAGUGGGCCCUAUUGACAUUUCCAUUAUCACAGAACAAGGAACUGAGGACAGAGGGUCUGCAUAACUUUCCCAGGUUCAUGUGGCUUCUGGUAUGAUUUGAAUCCAGACCAUCAGGCACCAGCUCCCACUCUGUCGGUCACUGUGCUGUGCUCCCUUUCUGUAUUAUCUCACUAAAUAAAGUCAUGUCUCCGUGCAGUCAGCCUGCUGGCUAUUUUAAGUGCACACCACAUUGCAACACCCUCUUCUCAGCCCAGCUUCGAUUCACUUGACUCCCCUAGACUCCCCUAGGAGGCUGGUGAACAAAGAGAACAGACGUGUGACCUGGGAAUGAAUUGACACCUCUGCAUGGUCUUCUCCCAGCAACAUAUCAAUAGUUCUCUCAGUUUUUGUUGUGUUUUCCUGGAUCAUGACUCGGGUACCAAGCAGAAAAGGAAGAUUAUAAAGGAGUCAAACACAGGAUGCACAAGAAUAUCAUCUGCGAUCAAGAUAAUCUGCUGGCCAUCCGCAGCGGUGGUUCAGGCACAUCAGAAUCAGCAUCUGGCCAAACAACAGGGAACUUGUUUCAGGAAUAUGAAAAGAAAAAGACAAGGAUUCAAACCAAGGAUACAUAUGGGGAUUGAUCCUCCGUGAAGAAAAUAUACUGGCUGGCCCCCACCGUCAUUCAACAGCUCAAAAUGAACAUCUAGUCCCAAAGGGUUGAGCCUCAACUAUCAUCCCAUACAAGCCACUCCACUGAAGUCACUGUGAGAAUUCCAUCCUGAAACUGAUCAAGAGUAAUGACUAUAAAAAUGUUGUCAUAUUAUCCUUUGAUUGAGAUAUAAUUCACAUUCCAUCAAUGCACAUUUUUUUUAACUGUGUGAUUCAGCUGCUUUUAGUGUACUCAGGUUUUGCAAUCAACAUCUCUAAUUCCAGUACAUUUUCAUCAUCCCCAAGAGAAACCUCAUACCUAGUAUCAGUCAUUCUCAUUCUGUCCUCCCCUUUCACCCCAGCCCUGGGUCUUUCUGUCUCUAUUGAUUUUCCUAUGCUGGACCUUUCAUAUGAAUAGAACCACACAAUGUGCGGACUUCUGUGUCUGACUUUUGCAGUAAGCAAAAUGUAUUCAAGGUGCAUCCAGGUUGUAGCAUGUAUCUGUCCUUCACCCUUUUAAUGGCUGAAUAAUAUUCAUCGUAUGGAUAUAACACAUUUUAUUUUUCCAUUCCUCAGUUGGCGAAUAGUUGGGUUGUUUCCACUUUUUGGCUAUUAUGAAUAAUGAUAUGACAAUAUAACACUCAUGUACAAGUUUUCGUGUGAACAUAUGUUUUUUAUUUCUCCUGGACAUAUACCUGGGAGUGGAGUUCCUGGGCCAUACUGUAUCUCUGUGUUGAACUUUUUGAGGAAGGGCCAAACUAUUUUCUUUUUCAUAUUUGCACCAGUGAUGCUUGAAAGUGCCAAUUUCCCCACAUCAUUGCCAACCCUUGUUUUUAAAAAAAUUAUAUGGCACAAUAGUGGGUAUGAAGUGGUAUCUCACUGUGGUUUCAGUUUGCAUAAUUUUGACUAAUAAUUUUGGACAUGUUUUCAUGUGCUUAUUGGCAAUUUGUAUCUUCUUUGGAGCAGUAUCUAUGCAGAUUCUUUUUCUCAUUUUUAAAAUUUGGUUAUUUGACAUUUUAUUGUUGAGUUGCCAGUGUUCUUUACAUAUUCUGAAUACUAGGCUUUAUCAGAUAUAUGACUUGCAAACAUUUUCCUUCAUUCUGAAGGUUGUAUUAUGUCUUUCUUGAUGGUGUUCUUUGAAACACAAAGGAUUUUAAUUUUGAUAAAGUCCAAUUUCUUUUUCCUUUUGUUGCCUGUGCUUUUGCUAUCAUAUUUAAGAGUUCAUUGCCAAAUCCAAGACUAUGAAGAUUUAUCCCUUUUUUUCUUCAGAAAUUUGUAUAGUUUAGCUCUUAUAUUUAACUCUUUGAUCCAUUUUUAAAUUCAAAGUCUAUUUUGUCUGAUAUUGGUAUAGACACUUCUGCUCUCUUGGUUACUAUUUGAGUUUUCUCACUGAGUUUGGAAUUCCCUUUUCUAUCCUUUAACUUUCAACCUGCUUGAUUCUUUUGAUCUCAAGUAAGUCUCUUGUAGACAGCAUAUAGUUGGGUCAUAUGUUUUUACCUAUUCCGCCAAUCUCUGUAUUUUGAUUGGAGAGUUUAAUGCAUUUACAUUUAAAGUAAUUGCUGACAAAAAAAAGAUUUAUUUCUGCUAUUGUGCUGUUUCUUUUCCAUCUGCCCAAAGCUUUUUUGCCCCUCAUUUCCUGCAUUCCUAUCUUUCAUUGUGUGUGUUUAGCUGAUUUCUUACAAUAAAAUAUUUAAAUUACUUUCUCACUUC